CAGUAGCCGCGGGAAUACGAAGGGUGCAAGCGUUAAUCGGAAUUACUGGGCGUAAAGCGCGCGUAGGUGGUUUGGUAAGAUGGAUGUGAAAUCCCCGGGCUCAACCUGGGAACUGCAUCCAUAACUGCCUGACUAGAGUACGGUAGAGGGUGGUGGAAUUUCCUGUGUAGCGGUGAAAUGCGUAGAUAUAGGAAGGAACACCAGUGGCGAAGGCGACCACCUGGACUGAUACUGACACUGAGGUGCGAAAGCGUGGGGAGCAAACAGGAUUAGAUACCCCAGUAGUCCCUGUCUCUUAUAU
rnacentral:rRNA from 1 species